AGAGAACGAUCAUGGCUCAGGACGAACGCUGGCGGCGCGCCUAACACAUGCAAGUCGAACGAGCGAGAGAGAGCUUGCUUUCUCAAGCGAGUGGCGAACGGGUGAGUAACGCGUGAGGAACCUGCCUCAAAGAGGGGGACAACAGUUGGAAACGGCUGCUAAUACCGCAUAAGCCCACAGGUCGGCAUCGACCAGAGGGAAAAGGAGCAAUCCGCUUUGAGAUGGCCUCGCGUCCGAUUAGCUAGUUGGUGAGGUAAUGGCCCACCAAGGCGACGAUCGGUAGCCGGACUGAGAGGUUGAACGGCCACAUUGGGACUGAGACACGGCCCAGACUCCUACGGGAGGCAGCAGUGGGGAAUAUUGCACAAUGGGGGAAACCCUGAUGCAGCGACGCCGCGUGGAGGAAGAAGGUCUUCGGAUUGUAAACUCCUGUUGUUGAGGAAGAUAAUGACGGUACUCAACAAGGAAGUGACGGCUAACUACGUGCCAGCAGCCGCGGU
rnacentral:rRNA from 1 species